UGAAAGUUGAAAGUACAGAGCGACUUCGGUCAAUCUGAUAGCGUUGCUAAGAGCUGCCAAGAAAAUCUGCUAAACUUAGAUUAUAUAUACCCGUACCGUAAACCGACACAGGUAGUCGAGGAGAGAAUCCUAAGGUGCUCGAGUGAAUCAUGGCUAAGGAACUCGGCAAAAUGGUCCUGUAACUUCGGGAGAAGGGACGCUCUAGCGAUAGAGCCGCAGUAAAAAGGCCCAGGCGACUGUUUAACAAAAACACAAGGCUUUGCUAAAUCGUAAGAUGAUGUAUAAGGCCUGACACCUGCCCGGUGCUGGAAGGUUAAGAGGGGAUGUUAUUCUUCGGGAGAAGCAUUGAAUCGGAGCCCCAGUAAACGGCGGCCGUAACCAUAACGGUCCUAAGGUAGCGAAAUUCCUUGUCGGGUAAGUUCCGACCUGCACGAAUGGUGUAACGAUCUGGGCACUGUCUCAGCCAUGAGCUCGGUGAAAUUGUGGUAUCGGUGAAGACGCCGGUUACCCGCAACGGGACGGAAAGACCCCAUGCACCUUCACUACAACUUAACAUUGGCAUUGGACACAAGAUGUGUAGGAUAGGUGGGAGAUAUUGAAGUAGAUUCGCCAGGAUUUAUGGAAUCAACGUUGAAAUACCACCCUUUUUGUGUUCGGUGUCUAACUUUAUGAAAUUAGAGGACAUUGUUUGGUGGGUAGUUUGACUGGGGUGGUCGCCUCCAAAAGAGUAACGGAGGCUUUCAAAGGUAUGCUCAGUACGCUUGGUAACCGUACGUGGAGUGCAAUAGCAAAAGCAUGCUUGACUGUAAGAACUACAAUUCGAGCAGGUACGAAAGUAGGAUAUAGUGAUCCGGUGUUUCUGCAUGGAAGGGACAUCGCUCAAAGGAUAAAAGGUACGCUGGGAUAACAGGCUGAUCUCCCCCAAGAGCUCAUAUCGACGGGGAGGUUUGGCACCUCGAUGUCGGCUCGUCACAUCCUGGGGCUGGAGAAGGUCCCAAGGGUUCGGCUGUUCGCCGAUUAAAGUGGCACGCGAGCUGGGUUCAGAACGUCGCGAGACAGUUCGGUCCCUAUCUGUUGUGGGCGCAGGAAUUUUGCGUGGCUCUGACCUUAGUACGAGAGGACCGGGUUGGACUAACCUCUAGUGUAUCUGUUAUGACGCCAGUUGUAUUGCAGAGUAGCUACGUUGGGCAGAGAUAAGCGCUGAAAGCAUCUAAGUGCGAAACUCACCACAAGAUAAGAAUUCCAUAUAGGAUCGUUGAAGAUUACAACGUUGAUAGGUUAUAGAUGUAAAGCUAGUGAUAGCAUAGUCGAGUAAUACUAAUCAUCCA
rnacentral:rRNA from 1 species